UACGAAGGGGGCUAGCGUUGUUCGGAGUUACUGGGCGUAAAGGGCGCGUAGGCGGCCCUCCAAGUCGGGCGUGAAAGCCCACGGCUCAACCGUGGAAUUGCGCUCGAGACUGAAGGGCUCGAGGACGGGAGAGGAUGGUGGAAUUCCCAGUGUAGAGGUGAAAUUCGUAGAUAUUGGGAGGAACACCAGUGGCGAAGGCGGUUGCCUGGAGCUUUGCUGACGCUGAGGCGCGAAAGCGUGGGGAGCGAUCCGG
rnacentral:rRNA from 1 species